CCCUACCAGCCCGCCUACCCUUCAAAUCCUCAGCAGGCCAAGCCCUACCAGCCUUCAAAUCCUCAGCAGGCCAAGCCCCACCAGCCUUUCUACCCUUCAAAUCCUCAGCUGCCCAAACCUCAGCAGGCUAAGCCUUACCAGCCUGUCAAUCCUUUGAAUCCUCAGCAGGCCAAGUCCUACCAGCCCACCUACCCGUCAAACCCUAGGCAGCCUAAACCUCAGCAGGCCAAACCCCUGCAAGGGCCACUCCAAACUAAAGCUGAAAUGUGGGACAUUUCUUCUUCUGAAGGAAGUGUUGCUUCUGGCUCUAAUGUGCACCCCACUGACUCAAACCCACCAUUGAAUGUUGAUCCAAGAAGUUUGAGAGAACUUCCAAUGUCCUUCCCGUACCAGCCCAGGUGGCAGCAACAAAUGGUGCCAGUGUAGAACAGACACCAUUGACCUUCCUAACUGUUACUGAACUUGCCUGGAAGAAUUCUGUACUGGCCUCAACUUUGAAUUCAAUAAAAUGAUUGGAACACA